GUUUAUUGAAAACCUAGGAUCUUUAUUGAGAGAGAGAGUAGAUAACAAUGUACUCCCGACAAUGGAGGAUAAAUACCUGGAUUUACAAUUAGAUUUCCGUUUCUUUUCUUCCGAACUUUACCGAUGUAUUUGACGACACAAACCACAGUCUUUAGUCCGUUUUUAACGAAUAACGGCGGCACAGUCUUUAGUCCAAAUUUUUCACACUAUCACUAAGUUAUGGUACUCCUUUCUUACUUUGAGUACGAUGGUUUGUCUGUCCUUUAACCUAAUAUUCAAUCUGAAUUUUCCUUCGAAUAUGUCGAAUGCUUAUUAUGGACUUGGGCUCUCCAGGUUUCCUCUUCGGACUUCGGAAGGGUGGUCGCUGACUUCUUCUACGAGAGACUCUUGCUUCUCUACUCGUCUUCAGGCGUGCCACACCCACAGAACGGUGAUCACCCGUUAUAUAUCUGGUUUCCCCCCUCUUCUUUCUUUGUUAAAAGUAAGAAUUACGUAUUUCUUCUUCUUUCU
rnacentral:lncRNA from 1 species